AAGAGAUCCUGCACCGAAAAUGUAACGGGGCUCAAAUCAUUUACCGAAGCUUUGACAAUUACUUUUAGUAAUUGGGUAGCGGAGCGUUCUGUAAGCCUGUAAAGGUGAUGCGUAAGCAUUGCUGGAGGUAUCAGAAGUGCGAAUGCUGACAUGAGUAACGAUAAGAAAUGUGAAAGACAUUUCCGCCGAAAUCCUAAGGUUUCCUGCGUAAAGCUAAUCUGCGCAGGGUUAGUCGGCCCCUAAGGCGAGGGCGAAAGCCGUAGUCGAUGGGAAGCAGGUUAAUAUUCCUGCACCAGCUGGUAGUGACGGAUGAAGUAAAUUGUGAGUUCUUACUGGAUUGAACUUGCAGUGAAUUUGUCCCUGGAAAUAGCUCCAGCAUUAGACCGUACCAAAACCGACACAGGUAGGAGGGUAGAGUAUACCAAGGCGCUUGAGAGAACUAUGUUGAAGGAACUCGGCAAAUUACACUUGUAACUUCGGGAUAAAAGUGACCUGCUAUUGGGCAACCAGUAGGAGGUGGCACAGAAGAGGGGGUAGCGACUGUUUACUAAAAACAUAGCACUAUGCAAAGUCGAAAGACGACGUAUAUGGUGUGACGCCUGCCCGGUGCCGGAAGGUUAAUAGGAGGGGUGCAAGCCCUGAAUUGAAGCCCCGGUGAACGGCGGCCGUAACUAUAACGGUCCUAAGGUAGCGAAAUUCCUUGUCGGGUAAGUUCCGACCUGCACGAAUGGCGUAACGAUUUCCCCACUGUCUCCAACAUAGACUCAGUGAAAUUGAAUUCUCGGUUAAGAUGCCGAGUAACCGUGGUUAGACGGAAAGACCCCGUGCACCUUUACUGCAGCUUUGUAUUGGUAUUAGGGAACAGAUGUGUAGCAUAGGUGGGAGACUUUGAAGGAGUGGCGCUAGCCAUUCUGGAGUCACUAGUGAAAUACCACUCUUCUGUUCCUUGAUGCCUAACCAUACACCGUUAUCCGGUGUUGGGACCAUGCAUGGUGGGCAGUUUGACUGGGGCGGUCGCCUCCCAAAGAGUAACGGAGGCGCGCGAUGGUAGGCUCAGAACGCUUGGAAACCGUUCGUCGAGUGCAAUGGCAUAAGCCUGCCUGACUGCGAGACCCACAAGUCGAGCAGAGACGAAAGUCGGUCAUAGUGAUCCGGUGGCACUUCGUGGAAGGGCCAUCGCUCAACGGAUAAAAGGUACGCCGGGGAUAAC
rnacentral:rRNA from 1 species